UCAUUUCUGUACAGCCCACGAGGGUUUUAUGUGAUGCUAGAUAUGGUUUUAAGUGGCAACUCAGGCCCAGCACAUGUCCUUUUUGCCUGGUCAUGUGCUCUUUUUAUUCACUUGUAUACUGAUUACUUUUGAGGGUUCACCUUUCAAAGAGGGAACCUUAUUGGGACAAAAGGGCUUUUGAAAUUUUUUAGAUCUGUAACCAUUGAGGAAAAAAAAAGAAAGAAAGAAACAACAACAUAAACCUAUUACUUGCAUCCAGGUGGAACUUUUUCUGCAGCUUUAAUCCUUAACCUGUCUUGACCUUUAAAACGCAGAGCGGAACUGAAUUAAUUUUCUUUAAAAGCAGCAAGCCACUUCCUAAACUGUAAAACUCUUGUCAUUUGAACUUGCAAAAGAAAGCCAGGUGUGGUGGUGCACGCCUUUGAUCACAGCACUCCAGGAGCAGGUGGAUCUCUGAGAGUUUGAGGCUAGCCUGGUCUACGUAGUGAUCCAGGACAGCCAGGGCUACGUAGAGAAACCCUGUCUCAAAAGAAACAAAACAAAACAAAACAAAACAAAAUCACUCUGUCAACAAAAGCUAACUUGCAAAAGGGAAACCUGUCCUUGGUUUUGGUCUUGUACCUGUGCUUUGUUGUCUUGUUGUGUGGAUUUUUUUUUUUUCCAAGCGGCUCUGCUCAUUGUCCUACCAGAAAAUCCCAGAGAGUUUCCCGCUUGCUCCUCCAUAAAUAUUGUAUUCAAGGAAAGAAAGGAGAUGCCUUCUUAGGGUGGAAUCAUGGAGGCAAUGGACAUGAUCUUCUUUGUAGCCUUUAAAAGAGGGAGUCUCUUAGUGAAUGUAGCUUUCAAAGACAAGAAGAAAGGACUCUGGGUCUCCCAGUGCUGCUUCUACUGGCCCUUUCUUCAGCCAGUGGGGACACAUGUGGCAAAGGAUGCUGGCUCUGCAGCCAAGAGGGAAGAUGGCAUCAGAAUGCUGCUGUGCUGCCCAAAGGCGGGUGGCUGAAUAGCCAGGCUGACGGUAGCAAUUGAGUGCAGAAAAGUUCAUCUUCCUCCGUGGAGGGCCGAGGCUGAUGCCUGUAUGUUGUGUCCAGGAGACAUUCUAGGACAGCUCUGUGACUUGUGUAACUUUACAGAACAUGCUACCUCAAAGUGCUGUGACAAACCAUUUGGACUGUAGUGCUCACAGGAUGGGCACGUGUCUUAAUCAAAGUUUGGUUACUUGUUUAUCCGGGUUUUUUGGAUGUGGGGUUUUUUGUUUGUAUUUUUUUUUCUUUUUCUUUCAUUCUUUUUUUUUUUCUUUUUUUUUUGUACAGUGAGAUCUUACCUAUUAAAUAUAUUUAGUGGGUCAUGGUUCCUGAAGGUGAGUGAAUUGAUUGUGUGUGCAGAUGUGUGUGUGUUAUGACUUAAAUAUAUUUGUUUUGUGCUGUUUUAGAGUUCCUUUUUUAUAUAUAUUUGGAGAAAGUAUGCAAGUUUCAAGGCACUCAGUGUUUCUGAUUUUUAUGUACUAAUAAUUAGGGCCUAAGUUAAAUAAAUAAAAACGUGUGUGCAUGU
rnacentral:lncRNA from 1 species